UACGUAGGGUCCAAGCGUUAAUCGGAAUUACUGGGCGUAAAGCGUGCGCAGGCGGUUGUGCAAGACCGAUGUGAAAUCCCCGGGCUUAACCUGGGAAUUGCAUUGGUGACUGCACGGCUAGAGUGUGUCAGAGGGGGGUAGAAUUCCACGUGUAGCAGUGAAAUGCGUAGAGAUGUGGAGGAAUACCGAUGGCGAAGGCAGCCCCCUGGGAUAACACUGACGCUCAUGCACGAAAGCGUGGGGAGCAAACAGGAUUAGAUACC
rnacentral:rRNA from 1 species